rnacentral:rRNA from 1 species
UUGCUCUUCAAAUCGAGUGGCGAACGGGUGAGUAACGCGUGAGGAACCUGCCUUUCAGAGGGGGACAACAGCUGGAAACGGCUGCUAAUACCGCAUGACGCAUUCGGAUGGCAUCAUCUGAAUGCCAAAGAUUUAUCGCUGAAAGAUGGCCUCGCGUCUGAUUAGAUAGUUGGCGGGGUAACGGCCCACCAAGUCGACGAUCAGUAGCCGGACUGAGAGGUUGACCGGCCACAUUGGGACUGAGAUACGGCCCAGACUCC